GAUGAAGAACGCAGCGAAAUGCGAUAAGUAAUGCGAAUUGCAGAAUUUCCGUGAGUCAUCGAAUCUUUGAACGCACAUUGCGCCCACUGGUAUUCCGGUGGGCAUGCCUGUUCGAGCGUCAUUAUCCUCCCUCAAACCCCGGGUUUGGUGUUGGACCCAAGUUGUGUGAACAACUGGUCUCAAAGACAAUGACGGCGUCCGUGGGACCCUCGGUGCAACGAGCUUUUAGGAGCACGCAUCGAGUUGCAAGGACCUUUCGGGCCGGUCUCCUUUACCAUUUUACAAGGUUGACCUCGGAUCAGGUAGGAAUACCCGCUGAACUUAAGCAUAUCAAUAAGCGGACGA
rnacentral:misc_RNA from 1 species